rnacentral:rRNA from 1 species
CAUACAGCUCAGUAACACGUGGCUAAUCUGCCCUUGGGACGAGAACAACCCCCGGGAAACUGGGGCUAACUCUCGAUAGGCGAAGAACACUGGAAUGUGUCUUCACCCAAAAAGCUUCACGUUAUCCUCGUGAAGUCGCCCAAGGAUGAGGCCGCGACCGAUCAGGUUGUUGGUGAGGUAAUGGCCCACCAAACCUAUAACCGGUGCGGGCCGUGAGAGCGGGAGCCCGGAGAUGGGCACUGAGACAAGGGCCCAGGUCCUACGGGGCGCAGCAGUCGCGAAACCUUUGCAAUACACGCAAGUGUGACAGGGUCAUCCCGAGUGCCGACCGCUGAGGUUGGCUUUUACCCAGUCUAGAAAGCUGGGGGAAUAAGGAGAGGGCAAGUCUGGUGUCAGCCGCCGCGGUAAUACCAGCUCUCCGAGUGGUGUGGACGUUUAUUGGGCCUAAAGCAUCCGUAGCUGGCUGAACAAGUCCCCUGUUAAACCCACCGAUUUUAUCGUUGGUCUGCGGGGGAUACUGCUCGGCUAGGGGACGAAAAGAGCAGAACGGUAUCCGGGGGUAGGGGUUGAAAUCCUAUAAACCCCAAAAAAACCACCAGUGGGCAAAAGCUGGUUCGCUAAAACGCCCCC